CUAGAAACACUGUGAAUAAUUAGCCAAUGCCAGAAUGCUACCCCCUGCUCCACGGCACCUGGUCCCAUCGACCACCCAAGGGCUGAGGAGUGCGGGCGCACAGUGCAGGACUGGCAGGCAGCUCCACCUGUGGCCCAGGUACGGGAUCAACUGGGUGAAGCCAGCUGGGCUCCUGAGUCUGGUGGGGACUUGGAGAACCUUUGUGUCUAGCUAGGGGAUUGUAAAUACAACAAUCGGCACUGUAUAUCUAGCUC
rnacentral:lncRNA from 1 species